rnacentral:rRNA from 1 species
AUUGAACGCUGGCGGCAGGCCUAACACAUGCAAGUCGAGCGAGCGGCGGACGGGUGAGUAAUGCCUGGGAAUUGCCCAGUCGAGGGGGAUAACAGUUGGAAACGACCGCUAAUACCGCAUACGAUUGGAUUGCCCAGGUGGGAUUAGCUAGUUGGUGAGGUAAUGGCUCACCAAGGCGACGAUCCCUAGCUGGUCUGAGAGGAUGAUCAGCCCAACGGGAACUGGGACGCGGUCCAGAAUCCUACGGGGGGCAGCAGUGGGGAAUAUUGCGAAAUGGGGGAGAGCCUGAUGCAGCCAUGCCGAGUGAGUGAAGAAGGCCUUCGGGUUGUAAAGCACUUGCAGCGAGGAGGCGUUACUCGCAGAGGAAGCACCGGCUAACUCCGUGCCAGCAGCCGCGGUAAUAC